rnacentral:rRNA from 1 species
CACACCGCCCGUCACACCAUGGGAGUCGAUUGCUCCAGAAGUGGAUGCGCCAACCCGCAAGGGAGGCAGUCCCCCAAGGAGUGGUUGGUAACUGGGGUG